rnacentral:rRNA from 1 species
GACGAACGCUGGCGGCGUCCCUAAUACAUGCAAGUUGAGCGAUGAAGAUUGGUGCUUGCACCAAUUUGAAGAGCAGCGAACGGGUGAGUAACGCGUGGGGAAUCUGCCUUUGAGCGGGGGACAACAUUUGGAAACGAAUGCUAAUACCGCAUAACAACUUUAAACAUAAGUUUUAAGUUUGAAAGAUGCAAUUGCAUCACUCAAAGAUGAUCCCGCGUUGUAUUAGCUAGUUGGUGAGGUAAAGGCUCACCAAGGCGAUGAUACAUAGCCGACCUGAGAGGGUGAUCGGCCACAUUGGGACUGAGACACGGCCCAAACUCCUACGGGAGGCAGCAGUAGGGAAUCUUCGGCAAUGGACGAAAGUCUGACCGAGCAACGCCGCGUGAGUGAAGAAGGUUUUCGGAUCGUAAAACUCUGUUGGUAGAGAAGAACGUUGGUGAGAGUGGAAAGCUCAUCAAGUGACGGUAACUACCCAGAAAGGGACGGCUAACUACGUG